UACGGAGGGUGCGAGCGUUGUCCGGAAUCACUGGGCGUAAAGGGCGCGUAGGCGGCGCGGGAAGUCCGUGGUGAAAGCCCGAGGCUCAACUUCGGGUCGGCCAUGGAUACUCCUGGGCUUGAGCACUGUAGAGGCAGGUGGAAUUCCGGGUGUAGCGGUGAAAUGCGUAGAUAUCUGGAGGAACACCGGUGGCGAAGGCGGCAUCCUGGACCGACACUGACACUGAGGAGCGAAAGCCAGGGGAGCAAACGGG
rnacentral:rRNA from 1 species